UGUGGCAAACGGGUGAGUAAAGCGUAGGAAUCUACCUAGUAGUACGGAAUAGCCAUUAGAAAUGGUGGGUAAUACUGUAUAAUCCCCGAGGGGGAAAGAUUUAUCGCUAUUAGAUGAGCCUACGUUAGAUUAGCUAGUUGGUGAGGUAAUGGCUUACCAAGGCUAUGAUCUAUAGCUGGUCUGAGAGGACGAUCAGCCACACUGGAACUGAGAUACGGUCCAGACUCCUACGGGAGGCAGCAGUGGGGAAUAUUGGACAAUGGGCGAAAGCCUGAUCCAGCUAUGCCGCGUGAGUGAAGAAGGCCUUCGGGUUGUAAAACUCUUUCAAUAGGGAAGAUAAUGACGGUACCCACAGAAGA
rnacentral:rRNA from 1 species